CGCUAGGCCACCAGCAUCAUUCCUUUUUCUUGAACUUACUUCAAUAGCUUGUUUGCAUAUGACGUCACUUCCGUUGCGUAGCAGUAGUGCGAAAUGCAAGUGGGGGUCAGGAAGUGAUUAGCAGCAGUCAGCGCAGAAACAUGCCCAAGCUACGCGUUGUUUACUGUUGCGCUAACUGAUCAAACAGAGAGAAGUCGACAGGUUUUUAUCGUGUCUCAAAGGUAGUGGUUCACAAGGGGGGGAAAUGCAAAAAACUCUCCUUUAAACAACGGAAACAGUGGAUCGGCAACUUUGUUUACGAAGUGAAACUGUCCAUCAGUUACUGGAUGAGAAUCAACACUAUCUGAGUCGACUGACUUCUCUGCUGCGUAACGCCACCCAGGAGAUGGAGCAGAGUGCCAUGGAUCAGGACUGGAGCUGGACUUCAAUCAAGAGAAGCUGAAGCUGAACCCCCCUGAAGUAUGCAACAUGAAAAGUCAAUAAACGCUGUGAAUGUAUGUUUUAAAUGUAUGUUUUGUCUUUCAGUAGCUGUUGAUAUUUUGCUGUGUGGGAGGCAUGAGUGAAAAAAAAUAAAAUUGACUUCUCUUUUCAAA